rnacentral:rRNA from 1 species
AGCGAACGCUGGCGGUAGGCCUAACACAUGCAAGUCGAACGGCAGCACAGGAGAGCUUGCUCUCUGGGUGGCGAGUGGCGGACGGGUGAGGAAUACAUCGGAAUCUACUCUGUCGUGGGGGAUAACGUAGGGAAACUUACGCUAAUACCGCAUACAACCUACGGGUGAAAGCCGGGGACCUUCGGGCCUUGCGCGAUUGAAUGAGCCGAUGUCGGCUUAGAGAGUUGGCGGGGUAAAGGCCCACCAAGGCGAGGAUCCGUAGCUGGUCUGAGAGGAAGAUAAGCAACACUGGAACUGAGACACGGUCCAGACUCCUACGGGAGGCAUCAGUGGGGAAUAUUGGACAAUGGGCGCAAGCCUGUGCCAGCCAUACCGCGUGGGUGAAGAAGGCCUUCGGGUUGUAAAGCUCUUUUGUUGGGAAAGAAAUCCAGCUGGCUAAUACCCGGUUGGGAUGACGGUACCCAAAGAAUAAGCACCGGCUAACUUCGUGCCAGCCGCCGCCGUAA